UUUAAAGGCAAAACAAAUUAAAUUUAAAAUCUAGUCUUGUUUCUGUUUCACUCUUCUCUCCGGUGGCAUUCAGCUGAACGAUAAACAUUGUAAAAAUUAAAAUCUGGAUCCGAACCGAUACAAAAUGGCGACGAAUCAGCCCAUACAGAUCGCCAUUCUCGGAGCAGGCACGUUCGUGAAGAGUCAGUAUCUUCCAAGACUCUCAGAGAUCUCCAAUCUCUUCCAUCUCAAAGCUAUUUGGAGCCGCACCGAGAAAUCUGCGACUAGUGCGCUGGAAAUUGCUAACAAACAGUUUGGUCAAGUGGAAUGUAAAUGGGGAGAUAACGGUCUUCAUGAUAUCAUCCAAGAUCCAUCCAUCAUUGCCGUUGUCGUCGUUUUGGCUGCACAAAAUCAGGUUGACAUCUCACUCAAGUUGUUGAAGGCUGGUAAACAUGUCCUUCAAGAGAAACCUGCAGCAUCUUGUAUAAAUGAGCUGGAAACUGCAUUAUCUACCUACAAAUCGAUUUCUGCAGAUGCUCCUGGCCAAAUAAUUUGGUCUGUGGCUGAAAAUUAUCGUUUUGAACCCGCCUUAAUUGAGGGCAAGAAGCUAAUUGCUGACAUUGGCAAAAUGAUGAGUGUCCAAGUUAUUGUAGAAGGAUCAAUGAACAGUUCAAACCCAUACUUUUCAAGUUCUUGGAGACGCAGUUUUACUGGAGGCUUUAUUCUCGAUAUGGGUGUGCAUUUCAUUGCGGGGUUAAGAAUGCUUGUUGGGUGUGAGGUAGUUUCAGUUUCAGCUAUGACAUCGCAUGUGGAUUUGAUCUUACCACCACCAGAUAAUUUAUCAUCUGUCUUUCAUUUGGAGAAUGGAUGCUCAGGAGUAUUUGUAAUGGUUGUCUCCUCCAGAUCCCCCAAGAUCUUGUGGCGAGUUGUUGGCACGAAUGGAACCCUUCAAAUUGAGCGAGGAUUCCAAGGACAACACGGAUACCUGGUUUCAUUAUAUGAUGCUAAUGGACAAUGCAAAAGCUCAUUUUUCCCAUUCAGUGGAGUAACUGAAGAAUUAAAAGCUUUUUUUAAUGAUGUUUCUGAAAACACCCUCAAGAAGGGUAGUCAGUUUGUACCCGAGCACCGCCUCUCUUUUGUCGAGGGUGCGAGAGACGUUGCUCUUUUAGAGGCAAUGCUUGAAUCUGGAUCAAGGCAGGGCAAGCAAGUUCAAGUGAAAAAGUUUUGAGGAAUAUACUAAGUGUAGAUGAACAAGCCAGUAGAUCAAGGCAGAGAGAUCAACGUGAUUGGAUGAAGUUAUAGGAUUUGUAUGCAUUUAUUGAAAUUAUUACUUGUAUGUUCGUGCUGAUGCAUCUGAAACUUCUAAUACCUCGAGGCUUAGUAUACGAAAUAAUGCAAUGUAUUAUAUGACAACAAGAGACACUAUACAUUCUCCUGGAAGGAUAUAGAUAUGGUAUCUCUAAUCAAAUUGUUGUUGAUGAGAGUAAAAUUGUUUCCCCUUAGGACUGAUAUGUAUUAAUCUUCUAAAACCUCCUGUUUUCUAUUUGGCAUCGCACAAUGUAACUGGAAAUACAUAGAAUAGAAUUGCACAUGUAUAUCUAUGUGAUCUAUGAAUUAUACAUCAUUUUGUCUUCAAGAAGCUAAA